UACAGAGGUCCCAAGCGUUGUUCGGAUUCAUUGGGCGUAAAGGGUGCGCAGGCGGCCGAGUGUGUGAGGCGUGAAAGCCCGGGGCUUAACCCCGGAAUUGCACCUCAAACUACACGGCUAGAGCAUUGGAGAGGGUAGCAGAAUUCAUGGUGUAGCAGUGAAAUGCGUAGAUAUCAUGAGGAAUACCAGAGGCGAAGGCGGCUACCUGGACAAUUGCUGACGCUCAGGCACGAAAGCGUGGGGAGCAAAAGGG
rnacentral:rRNA from 1 species